UAUUAUCCAUCCCGAUUUGGGCGUAGCCGCACGAAGAGGCACCACGUUCCUUUCUUCCUCCUGACCCCGCGGCUAUCGGGCGGCGGCGGCAGCUGGACUAGGUGGUGGAAAGCACGAAUCUUACGGGAACUUCUGCAGGAGGUAACGCCUCGCUCGAACUGACCUUGCAGCAACAGGUUGUCGUCGUACAAGACCGCCCUUAUCCGGCCCCUCUUUCGUGCUUCACCGCCGACAAGGGUUACGAAAACCGCCAGGAAUAGGAGUGCGGUGAUCAAAGAUCAAACAAAGUGGGAUGCUUGCUUGAAGCUUUUUGUUGGUGGUGGGCUAAAUAUAUCUGGCGAUCAAGGGGUGAUGAUGGCUUUGAUAUAUCAUGGAGGAAUUAGAACCAACCAUAUUUUCCUCAACCAAUCAGCUUUGUUCAUCAGGACCAGUAGUGCUCUUUUUCGCACAUUGCAAGCUUCAAAGACUCGCAUCAAUGCCCAAGCAGAGAGCACCACUAGCACUCUGAAAGAGGCAUCAGUUCAUGCGACAACUAAAACAAGUGUAGAACAAAAAAUUCUUGGAUAUGAAACUAUUAUUGGUAUAGAGACCCAUGUGCAACUAUCAACCCUUACCAAAGCAUUCUGCAGCUGCCCUUACCUCUAUGGAUCACAACCAAACACUACUGUUUGUCCUGUCUGCAUGGGACAUCCUGGUACUCUACCAGUUUUGAACUCCAAGGUCAUUGAAUUUGCCGUGAAGCUAGGCCUUGCACUCAACUGCAGAUUGUCCAUGACCUCCAAGUUUGACAGAAAGCAAUACUUUUACCCAGAUCUCCCUAAAGGAUACCAAAUAUCACAAUUUGACAUCCCGAUAGCAAUUAAAGGGUUCAUUGAUUUGGAUCUUCCAGUUGAGUUUGGUGGUGGUCAUAGAAGGUUUGGGAUAACUAGAGUUCAUAUGGAAGAAGAUGCAGGAAAACUAAUUCACUCAGAAACGGGGAGUUAUUCCCAGGUGGAUCUGAAUAGGGCAGGGGUGCCUUUAUUGGAGAUUGUCUCUGAGCCCGAUAUGAGGAGUGGACUUGAGGCUGCAGAAUAUGCUGCAGAGAUACAGAGGCUGGUUAGGUAUCUUGGAAUAAGCAAUGGCAAUAUGCAGGAAGGUUCACUUCGUUGUGAUGUAAAUAUUUCUGUUCGUCCAGUAGGACAAUCAAAUUUUGGAACAAAGGUUGAAAUAAAGAACAUGAAUUCAUUUUCUGCAAUGAAUAGGGCCAUAGAUUAUGAGAUCUCAAGACAGGUUCAUCUUCAUAGCCAAGGUCAAAGUGAUCAAAUUGUACAAGAAACUCGUUUAUGGGAAGAAGGUGCUCAGAAAACUUUUACAAUGAGGAAAAAGGAAGGACUAGCAGAUUACAGAUAUUUUCCUGAGCCUGACCUACCUGAAGUUAUUCUGACAAAAGACUAUGUUGACAAAAUUCAACAAGUUUUGCCUGAGCUCCCAGAAGCAAAACGCAGACGAUAUGAAAAAUUGGGUCUCAACAUGCAAGAUGUUCUCUUUCUUGCCAAUGACAAUCAUGUUGCUGAAUUUUUUGAUGCUUCUGUUGAGAAUGGUGCUGAUGCAAAGUUGGCUGCCAACUGGAUUAUGGGUGACAUUGCAGCUUUUCUGAAGAAUGAACGACUUUCAAUAAAUGAAAUCAAAUUAACACCAGUAGAGCUUUCUGAGUUAAUAGCUUCAAUAAAAAAUGGAACCAUUAGUGGGAAGAUUGGGAAGGAGAUACUUUUUGAGCUUUUAUCAAAAGGUGGAACGGUAAAGUCAUUGAUAGAAGAGAAGGAUUUAGUUCAGAUAGUAGAUCCAGCUGCAAUAGAAGCACUUGUUGAUAAAGUGCUUGCUGCAAAUCCCAAGCAACUUCAACAAUAUCGCGGUGGAAAAACCAAGUUGCAAGGAUUUUUUGCUGGCCAGGUAAUGAAGGAGUCGAAGGGCAAGGCAAAUCCAUUGGUUUUGAACAAAAUCCUCGCUGAUAAAUUAAAUGGAGGGAACUGACAAAAGUUGAAAAGCUUGAUGAAUUUGUAUUUGUCUGUCAUGCCCAUCUUCUCGCAUUAGUUUCGUGACACAAGAAACUCGCAGUAUCAAUUGGGAUGAAUACAAAAAGCAAUGAGGUUGACUCAUUUCUUGUCCACAAAUAGAUUUCUUCUACUGUGGAUCCAGGGGUAUGCUUCAGAAACAAUUAGAUGCCGAAUCCGAGCUUAAUGUACGCUCCUUUUUUUUUUGCUUUUAUAGGAGAAUAUUUUCUGUGCUGCUUAAUCUGAAGCCUUCCUUUAACAUCAGAUAUUGUAAUUUUGGUGAACAAGUGAGCAUAUAUAUUGAUGUAUGCAUUAAAUUAUGUCA